GCAGGGGUAGCCGAGCCCGGUCAAAGGCGCAGGCUUGAGGGGCCUGUGGCGUAGGCCUUCGCGAGUUCAAAUCUCGUCCCCUGCA
rnacentral:tRNA from 2 species